GAAAAGUCCAGUCAAUUUUCUGUCCGCCCUUUUUUUGUGUUGCUAUUUCAGUUAUCAUCACAGAGAGCUUGCGUCACACCGCUUUCAUGUGACAUUAUGCUACUGCUUAUAAGGUAUUGGCUUUCACGUGGCAAGUGAGUAGGAAUAGGUGCUUAGAGACUGAUGGCUUGUUCCUAGCAUGGCAUGACAGUCAGAUUUGGAAAAAAAAAAAAAAAGGUAGGAAGGUAGGGUGUUGUGAUGCUUGGCUUUGUUCGCCAGUGUUUUUAGAAUAUAAGUAGAGUGGUCUCUGUAUUAUUUUCUAGUGCCAAGUGAUGUAUUUUGGGAUGGGCUUCUAGUUUAGAAGCUCUUGACAAGUGUAUCUUUCUUUCUUGAUUUGGGCUGACAUUAUUGUU